AUGCUUGGCUGGGUGCUCUCCAUCUGGAAAGAUGAGAUUUCUCCAUCUGAUUUCUGGGAUUUGGGGACAAAGCUGGGAAAGGGAUGGGGAUAUAGGGAAAUGCUUGGCUGGGUCCCUGUCCAUCCAUUUUCUGGGAUUUGGGGCAAAGUCAGGAAAUGGAUGAGGAUGUGGGGAAGAUCUUGGCUGGGUGCUCUCCAUCUGAUUUCUGGGAUUUGGGGACAAAGCUGGGAAAGGGAUGGGACAGGUAUCCUGCUAUUCCAACUCCAUCCAUGCUCUUGGACAGGAAAUGGGAAUUACCUGGGGCAGGGCAGCUCAGCUUCAUCCCAAAGCCCAUCCCGACAUCCCACCCCUCUCCCUGCCCACCAGCAGCAUCCCCAGGGCCAAUUCCCCCAAAUUCCCCCAAACCCCCACCCACCUUUGGGAUCAUCCAUGGGAACCAUCCAUGCUCAGGCCGGGAAGAGCAGCCACGCAUCCCUGGCUGCUCCGUGUGCUCUGCCCCCCCUCAGGGAAGCAUCCAGAAUUCCAUCCUCGGGCGUCCCUCGGCACGGUGGGUGCGCCCGGCGUCCCCAGGGGGGGCGCUCAGCCCGUGGGGACAAUGACAGGAGGUGGCACCUCCUGGUUCCCAGAGCGAAUUCCCUCCAUGGGAAUCUCCGUCUCCGUCUCCGUCACGGCGUAGCCCUGCCUGGCGCCUCUGUGGGGGGAAGAGCAGCAUCAGUGGCGUCCCAAGGCUUCUCUUUGGAAAACUCAUUGCUGGGGUUUGGCACUUACUUCCUCCUCCUCCUCCUCCUCCUCCUCCUCCUCCUCCAGCAGCAGACGGCCGCAGUUCCGAUGGCCAGCAGCGCCAGGAGUCCUGCGGGAUGGACACUCGGGGUGAGGAGCAUCUCCCAGCCCCUGGCUGAGGAAUUCCACCUGAACAGCUCCGUGAGGAGCCAAAACCACUCCAGGCACCAUCACAAGAUCCCUCCCCACCCCCAGAGGGAGGGAAUUGGGAAUUCUGCUUUCCACCUCUUAAUUUUUGGUGAAAAUUUGACGAAAAUCGGGUGA
rnacentral:lncRNA from 1 species